GUUGUGGUGUUUGCAUAUGUGUGCUGUGUCAGUGCUGCACACACUUUAAGAGCUGUAGUGCUGAUCAGAGUGUGUUCAGUCCUUUCAGAGCCACUGACACGCAGCACAAUGAUGAUGGUACUGAUUCUACUGCUGGGGACACUGGGACUCCUCGCUCACCAGUCCUUUGGGGAAAUCGUCCUGACUCAGUCUCCAGGAGCUCAGUCUGUUUCUCCAGGACAAUCUGUUACUCUCACCUGUACAGCCAGUCAGAGUGUUAGCAAUUACCUCCACUGGUACCUGCAGAAACCUGGAGAAGCUCCUAAACUCCUGAUCUAUGCUGCAUCUACUCGUCAGUCUGGGAUUCCAGAUCGUUUCAGUGGCAGUGGAUCUGGAACACAAUUUAGUCUAAAAAUCUCUGGAGUUCAGACUGAAGAUGCAGGAGAUUAUUACUGUCAGCAGACAGGUUACACUCCGUACACACAGUGUUAUAGCGCCGUACAAAAACCUCCCUCAGCUGUAGAGGAAGUGCUCUGAGUCAGAAACACACAC